rnacentral:Y_RNA from 1 species
GGCUGGUCCAAAGGUAGUGAGUUAUCUCACUUGAUUGUUCAUAGUCAGUUACAGAUUGAACUCCUUGUUCUACUAUUUUCCCCCCUUCUCACUACUGCACUUGACUAGUCUUUU